GGACGAUGCGCCGAAGAAUCGGACGAAGCGUCGAGGGACCAAUGACAUGCCGGACAACUUGGUUAAUUGCUCAGGAUUAAUUGUCUCGAUCGAAGUUUUUGUUUUUGUGUGUGCAGGAUUAACUACGAUGAAAGUAAGACAUGCAGCAGGAGUUGCGUCGGAGUCAUGACAAUGAUCACGUUGGGAGUUCGAGAGCUUGACGGAAGUUCGGACAAUCGUCGGAGGUUCUGCGGGAACAAAUCCGAGAACUCCAGAAGCUUGCCAAAGGAGCUCGUCAGAACUUGCCAAGUGGAUCGUCGCAGUCCAGGAGUUUGCCGGAAGUCCGCAGGAGCAUCACCGAGGGUUCAUCGGAUGAUCGACGGAAGUUCACCGGAAACUCGCCGGAAGAAGCGAGUGAUGCACCGAAGCAAGCUGCAGAAUAUGUCUUAGGAAAUAAUCGUAGUUAGCACUUUGAUUAAGUUAGAAAUGGGAGGUGAUCCCAUUAGCUUAAUCCUGGGGCAAUUGGGCCCCUGAAGAACUCAAAUUGGG
rnacentral:lncRNA from 1 species